rnacentral:rRNA from 1 species
GGGGAAUAUUGCGCAAUGGAGGAAACUCUGACGCAGCAACGCCGCGUGAAGGAUGAAGGCUUUCGGGUUGUAAACUUCUUUGAUCGGGGACGAAAAUGACGGUACCCGAAGAACAAGCCACGGCUAACUACGUGCCAGCAGCCGCGGUAAUACGUAGGUGGCAAGCGUUGUCCGGAAUUACUGGGUGUAAAGGGCGUGUAGGCGGGGAGACAAGUCAGAUGUGAAAGCCCAUGGCUUAACUGUGGAACUGCAUCUGAAACUGUUUCUCUUGAGUACUGGAGAGGAAAGUGGAAUUCCUAGUGUAGCGGUGAAAUGCGUAGAUAUUAGGAGGAACACCAGUGGCGAAGGCGGCUUUCUGGACAGUAACUGACGCUGAGGCGCGAAAGCGUGGGGAGCAAACAG